CCAGACUCCUACGGGAGGCAGCAGUGGGGGAUAUUGCACAAUGGGGGAGACCCUGAUGCAGCGACACCGCGUGGGUGAAGAAGCGCUUCGGCGUGUAAAGCCCUAUCAGUGGGGAAGAAAAAGGACGGUACCCAAAGAAGAAGCCCCGGCUAACUACGUGCCAGCAGCCGCGGUAAUACGUAGGGGGCAAGCGUUAUCCGGAUUUACUGGGUGUAAAGGGAGCGUAGACGGCGGCGCAAGUCCGGAGUGAAAGCCCACGGCCCAACCGUGGGACUGCUCUGGAAACUGUGCGGCUUGAGUGCGGGAGGGGCAGGCGGAAUUCCUAGUGUAGCGGUGAAAUGCGUAGAUAUUAGGAGGAACACCGGCGGCGAAGGCGGCCUGCUGGACCGUAACUGACGUUGAGGCUCGAAAGCGUGGGGAGCAAACAGGAUUAGAUACCCUUGUAU
rnacentral:rRNA from 1 species